AGAGUCUACUUCAGAAGCGGAGGCGCUGGGAGUCCGGUUUGGGGUUGCCAGGCUGUGCUUGUGAGUCUGAGCUUGUGAGCGGCUGUGGCGCCCCAACUCUUCGCCAGCAUAUCAUCCCGGCAGGCGAUAAACUACCUUCAGUUGAGUCUGCAAGACUGGGAGGAAUUGGGGUGAUAAGAAAUUCAUUCACUGUCAAGGUUUAUUGAAGUCAAAAUGUCCAAAAAAAUCAGUGGUGGUUCUGUGGUAGAGAUGCAAGGAGAUGAAAUGACACGAAUCAUUUGGGAAUUGAUUAAAGAGAAACUCAUUUUUCCCUACGUGGAAUUGGAUCUACAUAGCUAUGAUUUAGGCAUAGAGAAUCGUGACGCCACCAACGACCAAGUCACCAAGGAUGCUGCAGAAGCUAUAAAGAAGUAUAAUGUUGGCGUCAAAUGUGCCACUAUCACUCCUGAUGAGAAAAGGGUUGAGGAGUUCAAGUUGAAACAAAUGUGGAAAUCACCAAAUGGCACCAUACGAAAUAUUCUGGGUGGCACGGUCUUCAGAGAAGCCAUUAUCUGCAAAAAUAUCCCCCGGCUUGUGAGUGGAUGGGUAAAACCUAUCAUCAUAGGUCGUCAUGCUUAUGGGGAUCAAGUAAGUCAUGUUGGCAAUAAUGUGAUUUUGCAUGGUUUUUUUUUUCAUGGCCCAGAAAUUUCCAACUUGUAUGUGUUUUAUUCUUAUCUUUUGGUAUCUACACCCAUUAAGCAAGUUACGAAAUUGAGAAAUGCAUAUAUGUAUAACUGUAUAUUUACACACAUUUAGCUAAAGGCAAAUACAAAUAAACUUACAAAUAGGCGUCCAUCUCAACACAUUUUUUUCAAACAUGCUGUUUUUUUUCCUUUAUCCUUUUAUUCAGUUAUACCAUAUGAUAUUGCCAUUUUUAUGUUGGUAAUUUCAUAUGGUUCAACCAGAUCUGUGGUUUUCAACACUGGCUGCACAAUAGGAUCCCCUUACAAGUUUUUUUGGUGGUUUUGUUUUGCUUUGCUUGAUUUGUUUCUUUGUUUUAGUUCCAAUGCUUGAGUACCACCCUACACAAAUUAAAAUCUGAAUUCCAUGGGGUUCAGGCAUUUUAAAGCUCCCCAGGUGAAUCUAAUGUGCAAACUUGAGAACCACCAAAGAUUGUAUUAAACAUGAUCCCAUCAUGCAUAAAAGAAAAAACUGGCUGGGUACUAUGGUUCACACCUGUAAUCCUAGCACUUUGGAGGCCAAGUUGGAAGCACUGCUUGAGGCCAGGAGUUUGAGACUAGCCUGGACAACAUAGCAGAACCCUGUCUCUACAAAAAUGAAAAGUAUUUCAAUAAUUAUGUCAAUUGUUCAUGGAAGAGCCAGUUUUGUUGUUUAUUCAUAUACAAAGUGAGUAGGCGAAGCUGAGUGGAGUGGCAUGUGCCUAUAGUCCCAGCUACUUGGAAGGCUGAGGCCUGAGGAUCCCAUAAGCCUAGGAGUUCAAGGUUACAGCUAUGAGCUAUGAUCACACCACUGCCUACGCAACAGAGCAAGACCCUGUCUCGAAAAAGAAAAAGAAAAAAAAAAACUGACUCGGUAGUUGAAAGCAGCCUUACUAAAGCAUUCCUUCCUGCCUGGAAAA
rnacentral:sRNA from 1 species